rnacentral:sRNA from 1 species
GUCUUUCCCCAACAAGGAGUGGGUAUCUGUGGUGUUGGGUCCUCUUUUAAAAUCUUCUAAUUGAUCACAACCAGUUACAGAUUUCUUUGUUCCUUUUCCACUCACACUGCUUCACUUGACCAGCCUUUU